GCCGGCGUGGCGAAAUGGCAGACGCAGCAGACUCAAAAUCUGCCGGGGGCAACCUCAUGACGGUUCAAGUCCGUCCGCCGGCA
rnacentral:tRNA from 1 species